AUCAUAACUUAACUUAAAGUAUUUCCUGGUGGAGUUUAAACAGUACGUGGAUGCUAUUCAGAAGUGUGAAAACAAAAAAGCACAAAAAACAUAAAUUCAGGGCAAGACCACUAUUAGUCGGAUUCGGGAUUUAGUAAAGCUCGAGAGCUGUCCUAAUCCGUAGGAGCUGCGAGAGGACGGCAUUCAGAGGCAGUCAGGCACACACAUUGUGGGAGAGGAGGGAUGUUUUGGAAGUUCUGGACAACAAUUUACUUCUAAAAAGAUAUUGGCUCAGUGAGGAUGAAGAGACACUGAUGUUGGACGACAAGGCCUGGACAUAGUAGAAAAAAUGGUUCUAGGCUUACAGUUCGAGCUAUUGAAGAGAGUCAACUGCAGUUAAGUGGAUCAGUGGAUGGCGAAUCGGCAGAUGAUAGGACACGACUGCACAGCGAGGCCUGUGUUUUUAUGAAGUCAUUCUAGGCACCAGCCAGUUCCACUCAGGGCUCGAAGGUCUGGAGUAAACCAAGAGGAGGAAUGGGAGAAAGGGACAGACCAGUGCUUAACCCAUUCGGACUUGCUCUUUAGAACGGCAUCGUCAUCCCCAGUACACUUUCUACUCAUUUCUGGCCUUUUAGCGCUUGGCGACCAACGUGCCUCAUAAGCAUUCUGACAAUUUUCUAGCUGUUUUUUGAAGAACGCAUCAGUUUCCUUAGCCUCUUCCGAGCUCUGCUUAAGAGAAGCUACUUGUUGGCUCAGGUUCAUAUUAUCCUCUGC